GAAUAUUUUAGGAAGUUUAUUUAUCUUUAUUUUGUCGAAAUGAAAAUUAAAGUGUUCUAUCUCUGGAUUUAUUAUUAAUUCAGUGUCACAUUGACUUGUUCAGUAAUAUUUAAAACAAAGUCAAUACUCUUACAAUUACAGAAAACAAAAAAAUCAAAGAUUAAAUUUGUAUGACUGAUGAUACAAUUUCGAAACAAAUUUCUAAUUUUUUUACACAUUGAUGUUUAAAGGUAAAGUCCUGUGUAAACAAUUAUUUUGAAAAGACACUGGGCCUUCUUAAUGCUUUGGUGCAGGGAACAAAAGAGCAAUAAUAGAUCAACAUAAAUGUUACUUUUAACAGCAGAGUGUUGUGUGGCCACCACAACUAUAUCACCAUUAAAUAUUAAAUUUUCACUAUUUAGCCACCACAUAUUAAAUUAAGAAAUAUAUUAAUAUAAUUGAAACUACUCAGUUGAAAAGAAUACUAUAGUGCUACAGUCAACCAUUUAUCAAAAGACACUUUUAGUGUAUAUAAUUAAAUGAAAACUUUUUU